rnacentral:rRNA from 1 species
AGUGAACGCUGGCGGUAGGCCUAACACAUGCAAGUCGAACGGCAGCACAGUAAGAGCUUGCUCUUACGGGUGGCGAGUGGCGGACGGGUGAGGAAUACAUCGGAAUCUACUUUUUCGUGGGGGAUAACGUAGGGAAACUUACGCUAAUACCGCAUACGACCUACGGGUGAAAGCAGGGGAUCUUCGGACCUUUCGCGAUUGAAUGAGCCGAUGUCGGAUUAGCUUGUUGGCGGGGUAAAGGCCCACCAAGGCGACGAUCCGUAGCCGGUCUGAGAGGGUGGUCCGGCAACACGGGACCUGAGCAACGGUCCAGACUCCACGGGGAGGCAGAGGUGGGGAAUAUUGGACAAGGGGCGAAAGCCUGCGCCAGCCAGACCGGUGAGGUGAAGAAGGCCUCCGGGUGGUAAAGCCCUUUUGUUGGGAAAGAAAAGCGGCAGGUUAACACCCCGCUGUUUUGACGGAACCCAAAAAAUAAGCACCGGCAAACUUGGU